UUAAUAGAAGCCAAAAAUUAGAGGCAAUUUAUUGUUAAUAAAUCAAAUGGUUAUUAUACCCUAUUAAA
rnacentral:tRNA from 1 species